rnacentral:rRNA from 2 species
UGAGGUGCUUGCACCUGAUUGAUUUUGGUCGCCAACGAGUGGCGGACGGGUGAGUAACACGUAGGUAACCUGCCCAGAAGCGGGGGACAACAUUUGGAAACAGAUGCUAAUACCGCAUAACAACGUUGUUCGCAUGAACAACGCUUAAAAGAUGGCUUCUCGCUAUCACUUCUGGAUGGACCUGCGGUGCAUUAGCUUGUUGGUGGGGUAAUGGCCUACCAAGGCGAUGAUGCAUAGCCGAGUUGAGAGACUGAUCGGCCACAAUGGGACUGAGACACGGCCCAUACUCCUACGGGAGGCAGCAGUAGGGAAUCUUCCACAAUGGGCGCAAGCCUGAUGGAGCAACACCGCGUGAGUGAAGAAGGGUUUCGGCUCGUAAAGCUCUGUUGUUAAAGAAGAACACGUAUGAGAGUAACUGUUCAUACGUUGACGGUAUUUAACCAGAAAGUCACGGCUAACUACGUGCCAGCAGCCGCGGUAAUACGUAGGUGGCAAGCGUUAUCCGGAUUUAUUGGGCGUAAAGAGAGUGCAGGCGGUUUUCUAAGUCUGAUGUGAAAGCCUUCGGCUUAACCGGAGAAGUGCAUCGGAAACUGGAUAACUUGAGUGCAGAAGAGGGUAGUGGAACUCCAUGUGUAGCGGUGGAAUGCGUAGAUAUAUGGAAGAACACCAGUGGCGAAGGCGGCUACCUGGUCUGCAACUGACGCUGAGACUCGAAAGCAUGGGUAGCGAACAGGAUUAGAUACCCUGGUAGUCCAUGCCGUAAACGAUGAGUGCUAGGUGUUGGAGGGUUUCCGCCCUUCAGUGCCGGAGCUAACGCAUUAAGCACUCCGCCUGGGGAGUACGACCGCAAGGUUGAAACUCAAAGGAAUUGACGGGGGCCCGCACAAGCGGUGGAGCAUGUGGUUUAAUUCGAAGCUACGCGAAGAACCUUACCAGGUCUUGACAUCUUGCGCCAACCCUAGAGAUAGGGCGUUUCCUUCGGGAACGCAAUGACAGGUGGUGCAUGGUCGUCGUCAGCUCGUGUCGUGAGAUGUUGGGUUAAGUCCCGCAACGAGCGCAACCCUUUGUUACUAGUUGCCAGCAUUAAG